rnacentral:lncRNA from 1 species
AAAUUAGAAUGAAAAAGCGAGUGAACAAAAUUGAGCAGCUUCAGAACAUUUUGAUGUAGCAGGUGUGCACGAGAACAUAACUGCAGAAGUAGAUGAAGAGUCUACGUGCUGGCUCCUGCAUGUCCAGGGUUCCAGAGCAUUACGUUUCCAUCAGGAUGUAGAUCCCAAGAAUGCCAGAGAGCACCAAGCAGAGGAUGAAACAGGCAAUUAUUUGCAGACCCUGCAGAUCUCCGUUUUUGGUGCUGACGCAGAAGUCCAGACAUUAAAACUAACACGUUUUCACAAGAACCACAAAGAGGGAGGAUCCAGGCACAUUUUUUCUUUCUGUAUCACCCUGGAAUGAUGGGGAAAUUUCCCCAAAAACCAUGUGUACUGUGAUUGCAUGUAUUGGGGCAAUACCUCUUGUCCCAUCCAUCAGGAAAGACAUCAAAGCUGAUCUGGCCUCCUGUGAAAAACCUAAGACCUUUUCCUGCAAACCCCUUCCUUGAUCUGCUACAGGUUUUUCUCUUAUAUUUUCUUUUUUAUUGAAUUCGUAGAACUCCAUGUGUUCCUCUUGGCUGCAGCUUCUUCCAAAUAGGGGACAUGUUUAACAUCCCAUUUCAGAAUUCAGUGAAAGUACCCCUCUUCUUCAGCAGUUUAAUUUUUGCAUUGUAGCCCAGACAGCAGUUGAUUAAAUCUUGGAUUAGGACCUCACCCAGGUGACUUUGAAUGCUCGUGA